rnacentral:rRNA from 1 species
UACGGGGGGGGCAAGCGUUGUUCGGAAUUACUGGGCGUAAAGGGCUCGUAGGCGGCCAACUAAGUCGGAUGUGAAAUCCCCAAGCUUAACUUGGGAAGUGCAUCCGAUACUGGAUGGCUUGAAUCCGGGAGAGGGAUGCAGAAUUCCAGGUGUAGCGGUGAAAUGCGUAGAUAUCUGGAGGAAUACCGGUGGCGAAGGCGGCAUCCUGGACCGGCAUUGACGCUGAGGAGCGAAAGCUAGGGGAGCAAACGGG